rnacentral:rRNA from 1 species
UACGGAGGGUGCAAGCGUUACCCGGAAUUACUGGGUGUAAAGCGCGUGCAGGCGGUUUUUCAAGUCCGAUGCUAAAGACCCAGGCUCAACCUCGGGAGUGCGUUGGAUACUGUGAAGCUGGAGGGUCGGAGAGGGGAAUGGAAUUCUCGGAGUAGCAGUGAAAUGCGCAGAUAUCCAGAGGAACGCCGAUAGCGAAGGCAGCUGCCUGGGCCAUUUGUGACGCUGAGGCGCGAAAGCGUGGGGAGCAAACCGG